rnacentral:rRNA from 1 species
UCCGGUUGAUCCCGCCGGAGGUCAUUGCUAUCGGAGUCCGAUUUAGCCAUGCUAGUUGCACGAAUUCAUAUUCGUAGCAGAUAGCUCAGUAACACGUGGCCAAACUACCCUAUGGACCAGAAUAACCUCGGGAAACUGAGGCUAAUGCUGGAUACUCCUCUACUCCUGGAAUGGAUUGAGGUACAAACGCUCCGGCGCCAUAGGAUGUGGCUGCGGCCGAUUAGGUAGACGGUGGGGUAACGGCCCACCGUGCCAAUAAUCGGUACGGGUUGUGAGAGCAAGAGCCCGGAGACGGAAUCUGAGACAAGAUUCCGGGCCCUACGGGGCGCAGCAGGCGCGAAAACUUUACACUGCACGACAGUGCGAUAAGGGGACUCCGAGUGCGUGGGCAUAGUGCCCUCGCUUUUGUGAACCGUAGGGAGGUUCACGAAUAAGAGCUGGGCAAGACCGGUGCCAGCCGCCGCGGUAACACCGGCAGCUCGAGUGAUGACCGAUAUUAUUGGGCCUAAAGCGUCCGUAGCCGGCCAGGCAAGUCUGUUGGGAAAUCUGCUCGCUCAACGAGCAGGCGUCCAGCAGAUACUGCUUGGCUUGGGACCGAGAGACUCAAGGGGUACGUCUGGGGUGGGAGUGAAAUCCUGUAAUCCUGGACGGACCGCCGAUGGCGAAAGCACCUUGAGAGAUCGGAUCCGACGGUGAGGGACGAAAGCUGGGGUCACGAACCGGAUUAGAUACCCGGGUAGUCCCAGCUGUAAACGAUGCCAGUUAGGUUUGGCGCGGGCUACGAGCUCGUGCUGUGCCGCAGCGAAGGCGAUAAACUGGCCGCCUGGGAAGUACGUCCGCAAGGAUGAAACUUAAAGGAAUUGGCGGGGGAGCACUACAACC